GAAACCAGGUUCGGAUGGUCAAGUCUGCUCAAGAUAUCAACUUCAACACGGAAUUCACGUUCUCCUUCAGCUACUUUGUAUGGUGGCAGCUCCAUUUUCUUGAUUGCAACAACCUUCAGAAUACAGAAAGAGAACAUUUAGUGCCCUUGUAGACUCGGUCAAACCCUCCUUUCCCGAGCAGAUUCUUGUCGCUGAAAGAAUGCGUUGCCUCCUGCAUCUCCUUAAGGGUGAAAAUUGACGAACCUUGUCGACGUUUUGUUUGCUGGGGCAUUUGACCCUCAAUUCCCCAGUACUCUGCAGGUUUGUAAGUCCCUGAAAGUAGGAAUGUAGGAUGUUGAACUUUAAAAAAAAAAAAACACUGCCAAAGGAUGAACAGGUUAUCAUGUGAAGGAAAAUAACAUACAAGGGUCGGUAUGAUCCCGGGUGUUGCAUCUCCGGCGUUUUCUCCAUGCUGAGACGAAGCGGAGAGGCAUCGUAUCCCCUUCCUCGGAUGGAAUCUCCUGUGCUUGAUGAAUGAAUUGACAGAUUAAUGCUUGAACAAUAUGAAGAGAAAUGAUUCUCAGGAUGUGCCUGAAAAGAGGUAUAGACCAUAUUUUACAACAAACAUAUAUCAGAUGGAGAGUUGGUACCUGAAGGAAAAGAAAAGGCAGGUGAAAGGG